rnacentral:tRNA from 1 species
UCCCUGGUGGCUCAGAUGGCUAAGUGUCUGCCUACAAUGCAGGAGACCUGGGUUCAAUUCCUGGGUUGGGAA